GAUGAACGCUGGCGGCGUGCCUAAUACAUGCAAGUCGAGCGAACGGACGAGAAGCUUGCUUCUCUGAUAUUAGCGGCGGACGGGUGAGUAACACGUGGAUAACCUACCUAUAAGACUGGGAUAACUUCGGGAAACCGUAGCUAAUACCGGAUAAUAUUUUGAACCGCAUGGUUCAAAAGUGAAAGACGGUCUUGCUGUCACUUAUAGAUGGAUCCGCGCUGCAUUAGCUAGUUGGUAAGGUAACGGCUUACCAAGGCAACGAUGCAUAGCCGACCUGAGAGGGUGAUCGGCCACACUGGAACUGAGACACGGUCCAGACUCCUACGGGAGGCAGCAGUAGGGAAUCUUCCGCAAUGGGCGAAAGCCUGACGGAGCAACGCCGCGUGAGUGAUGAAGGUCUUCGGAUCGUAAAACUCUGUUAUUAGGGAAGAACAUAUGUGUAAGUAACUGUGCACAUCUUGACGGUACCUAAGCAGAAAGCCACGGCUAACUACGU
rnacentral:rRNA from 1 species